CACACCUGAGUUAGUGAGGUCACCACCACGUGCACCGCGCAUUCUCACAUCGAGAUGAUUCAGCCACCACGGUAACCACGCGCUCCAGCCACUCACUCCCUCAGCUCAAGAAUACACCAACAUUCCGAACUGCAGGCAACAGGCGGGUGGAGAGAUCGGGGAGCCAGCUUGGAUAGCGGAGAGCGCACACCACCAGCGCAGUCGAGACUAAAACGGAAAUAACGAAUUAACUACCAAAGGGAUUGUCAUUUCCUUAACAUCCUAUCAACCGUUAAUGACACAUCGUUAAAGGAGACAAAACGAAAAACACAACAGAGAUUGAUUUAUUAUCCAUAGUUUACCGUUCCAGCGCGUGGAAAGAUGAAGACUAAAAACCUUGAGCAAAGCUUGUCUGAUUCCAGAGAAUUGGAUGGAUCGUAUGACCAGCUGACUGGUGGACUGAAGAGGAAAUUGGUGGCUCUGGCCAAACACAAAGACCUUAUGCCUUGGGUGAAGAGUAUAUGCAUUCAUCUGUGGUGGAGUUGUAGCUCAUGUGGAGGAGAUGGAGUUCAAGUCAAUGCUCCAUCAGAUCUGUUGGGUCCAUCGCUGGUAAGAGGACGGAGUGGAAUGCCACUGUUACAAUGGAUAGCUAACAGAGGAUCAGCAGAGGAAGUAGAGGUGGCUACAGGAAGAUUCAUCAACCUACAAAGCCCUGUACUCUCUGGUCAUGGACAAACACCUGCAGAAGGAUCUUGAUCAGAUGGCACUGUUUAAACACACAGGCACUCCAAGAUGCAUUGUUUACCCUAAACAAUUAAAACAAUGGAUUGCCUAGCCAAUAUAUCGCCCAUCACUCAAAAAUUCAGGAAUGACCUGAUGGAGCGUGUCUUACAGAGACGCAUGGACAAAUAAUUGAAAUACUAGGAGCCAAAAUCCGUUGGAAAAGGCUGUGGUCUGGUUGACAACAUGGCCCCCAUCCCAACAUGGUCCUCCUUGCACUACAACCUAAUACAAACACAUUAUAUUGUAACGUAAUUUGUUAGCUUCUGGUCCUUAUCACUCUGCAUCUAUAGCAUUUGAAAAAAAUCCAUUCAAUGUAGGCUGCUACUGUACAUGAAAGCAUAUCUAAUUUAUACUGUCUAUUUUAUUGCAUAUUUGACAUUUUAUUGAUAUGAAUUUUGAGAAUGCCUUGUCUACACUAUGUAUUGUUCAUUAUACAGACCCCAAGUCUGUGUUGUAAAAAAUCUAUAGCGGUCUUUGCCAGUUCAUCGAUUGUUGUCAUUACAUAGGUAUACUCUGAUGUUUGGGGUUUUACCAAUAUAACUUCAGUAUUCAAAUGUUACUGAUACAUUGAUCUGACUGCUUUAUUACAUACACAAUACUAUCA